rnacentral:lncRNA from 1 species
CGUAAUGUGGAGAGGGAAAGGGACGGGGAAUAUAUAGUGAGAAGUGAAGGCAAUACAAGGGACUAAUACAAGCAACGAGUCAUAUCUUUACAGAAAUUAUGGCAUAUAGAAGCAUCUAGUGAAGUUUUUAAAAUUACAAUUUGAAGGGUGUUUAAUAAUUUUAUCCCAAUCCUCAAUAACCUAGCCUUCAAGAGACUAGGGAAUGAAACGACAUACCCUAAAUGUGAAAAUGGUUGCGAAACUUUUGAACAUGUGUUCCGGCCGGAUUGUGUAACUACGAAGAAAGUAUGGGGUAAGUUACAGAUUGGGUGACUGCAAAAUCUUUCAGUAGUCGAAUAUAAGGAAUGAAUGACAUACCUACUAGAGAAUCAAACAGGUGGGUAGAGGAGCUUAAUAAUCGAGGCUAUUUGGGCAAUCUGGACAUCUAGGAGUCGAGUCCUGGAUGAAAAACAUAAUCAACUUAAGAAACAGUUGAAAUGGUGAAAAAACAUACAAAAUAAUGGGGAGAGGUUAGACAACGCUUAUCUGUUAGAAUUUCUGUACUAGAAGGAUGGAGACAACGAGUGUCAAAUCUGAUCAAAAUAAACUUUGAUGGAGCUCUCUAAAGGAGCACAAAAGAGUUGUGUACGAGACUGGUAGUGCGAAGGCCUGAUGGGACAGUGGUAGGCUUGAAUAUAAUAAUCAACAAACAUAUUUCAUCGGCGUUUGCGACAAAGGCGGUUGCAUGCAUGUCUCCAGGUGACACAGAUGGGAGUAGAUUUGGGACUCCAAAGGGUUGAGAUUGAGGGAGAUGCUCUCACAAUAAUAAAAAAGACAAAUAUGAACAAGAGAGAUGAAUCAGUGAUUAGUAACUGCAUUGAAGAUAUCAACAAAUUGAAGGAAGCUUUCCAUACCUAUUGUUCCUCAUACACUGCAAGAGAAAGAAAUGGGUUGGCUCACAUCCUAGCAACGGAGGGUUUGGAGAGGAAAGAGCAAAUCUAUUUGUUAAGAGAAGUGUUG